GGGUGCCAUUCCCGCACGGUGGUGAUGCCUCAGGUUUUAGCUUUUAUAUUUUUCGGGUUCUGUACUGCUUUAGUGUGUAGUUCUGAACUUCACAUUAAGGGAUAGUUAGCUGUCGUCACAGAAUAGGUGGACAAAACAAUUCCUUCUAUAGCUGGAGGCCGAGGAAAAUUGAUCCAAAUCUCAGACCCAAAAGCAUAAACAACAGUGGACCGAAGAGAGGAAAACAAAAAGGAUGUGGCUUCCAAACCUAGAGCUAUAAUUGGACAAUUAACUCCAAUAUGCUAAUGGACUAGAACUUAAAAAGUGAGAGGUCUCGUGAUCGGUCAUCCAUUUUGUGACUAUUUAGGAUUGAUCUUGGGUGUAGCCCUGGCUGGGCUCUUGUGCUGCCCAAGGUGUAUCCAUUGAGGCCUUUUAAUAAAUACCUACUUUAUUCUUUACCUGCAUCUAGCCUCUGUUCUAGGUCAGCCUUCACAAGGCAUCAGUGGCUUCUGCCCCAGCCGGCAGCUGGCCAAUGUGGUGGCAGGCAUGCAGGAGCUGGCCCCGCUGCCGGCGCAGGAUCUGUGCCACAGGCACCUCACUGUCUUCUGUCACUGUGAUGGAGUCCUCGUCUGCACCGCCUGCAUGAGCAUCGUGCCCACCCCACUGUGCUGCUCGUGGAGGCUGCUCGCUGCUACAGGAAGCAGUUUGAAGCUUCCCAAAAAACCCUGCAAGAGGAGGACAAGUGACAUGCUGGGCUGACUGAGGCAGCAGAGGAGACAAGACAGGAGAUGCUGACUCGAGGCAGGGCUGACAAGCAGAAGCUGCAGGCCAUGCUGAAGGGGCUCUGCUGGGUGCUGAGUGACCAGGAAUCACAGUUUCUUUCCUGGUUCCAUUGCCUGUGCUGGAGGCUGGAGGAACAGCAACAUGGUGAAGCUGCCGAGAUGUCACGGAUCCAGCAAUGCCACGCAGAGCUCCAGGCCAAGUGCCAGCAACCAGAUGGUGACCUGCUAUGAGUGAGAUGAAACUUAGCCCCAGAAUCCCCCGCUUUUUGCUUUUAUUCCCCCGCUUUUUGUUCCCCCGCUUUUUGCUUUUAUUUACAGGAAAGCAGCCCUAAGCAUCUUUCUCCCUUCCUCUCCAGGAUGUCUGAACCAUCUUGAACAGGUAUUGAAGCCAAAAGUAUCACCAGUUUUGGCCCGAAGCACUCCAUUUUUCGGAUCAUCUUCUCUCCCUGUGUUCUUUUCCUCUGGGAUUUUUGCUUUGGAGCUGGAGGGGGUUGAUGGUUAAUCCAAAACUUGGUGGUGAUGGGGGAAUCUUCCAUCGUAUCUUGCAGGAAUGGCAGCCUUGCCCACGUGAGUAAAGAUGUCCCAGUGGUUUUCUAGCAAUGAGGAAAGGAAAUUUGGCAUUAAACACCCCAAUUUACUCCUCUCGAGGUGCACAGAAAGGAAGGUACAGCCAUCACUGUUGAUGUCAGAGCUGGAAAUAGCUUGAGGAUUUUACUUGAAAAACCAACAUGCUGGUAGAGGCAGUGACAGUUUAAAGGUGCUCGGAGGGUAAAAACUGGGAAAAAAGGAAUUAAUUAAGCAAAAAUGCAGAUUGGCUGGAAAGUGAAAGCAUCACAGAUGCUCAUUUACUUAAAAGAAAAUCAGGAAUUUAUUCCUGAUUAGCCUUAAGGGAUAGAAGACUGAAGGUGGGAGGUGCAGAAUGCUGUUGAUGCUUAAUUAGCACCCAAAUUAGGACACUAAGUUGGGUGAUGCCCUGAUGAAGGGCAUUGUGUCUCCCAGCUCAGGUGGUCUUGCCUUCUCUGUGCAGCAGGGUGGAUAUGGGGAAGGCCCAGGGCGACAUCCAGAGAUAAAAAUCUUUGGGGUUGUCUUCUUUUUCCAAACUUCUCGGAGUGCUCUCUGGAGGAAGACUCAGAGGGAUAUGGAGAGGUGAGUCUGGCUUCAGGGACUUACUGAACUCCCAUUUGGGUUCAGUGCCUGGAGCUGCUACUCUGGUGCAAUUUUUGGAGGUGAU
rnacentral:lncRNA from 1 species